rnacentral:tRNA from 1 species
GCCGGCAUGUCGGAAUUGGCAGACGAGACAGACUCAAAAUCUGUUAUCCGCAAGGGUGUAUGGGUUCAAGUCCCAUUGCCGGCA